CCUACGGGAGGCAGCAGUGAGGAAUAUUGGUCAAUGGACGAGAGUCUGAACCAGCCAAGUAGCGUGAAGGAUGACUGCCCUAUGGGUUGUAAACUUCUUUUAUAUGGGAAUAAAAUGUUCCACGUGUGGGAUUUUGUAUGUACCAUAUGAAUAAGGAUCGGCUAACUCCGUGCCAGCAGCCGCGGUAAUACGGAGGAUCCGAGCGUUAUCCGGAUUUAGUGGGUUUAAAGGGAGCGUAGGUGGAUUGUUAAGGCUGUUGUGAAAGUUUGCGGCUCAACCGUAAAAUUGCAGUUGAAACUGGCAGUCUUGAGUACAGUAGAGGUGGGCGGAAUUCGUGGUGUAGCGGUGAAAUGCUGAGAUAUCACGAAGAACUCCGAUUGCGAAGGCAGCUCACUGGACUGCAACUGACACUGAGGCUCGAAAGUGUGGGUAUCAAACAGGAUUAGAUACCCCAGUAGUC
rnacentral:rRNA from 1 species